UCCCUUUAUUUAUCAUCUGAAAGAUUUUGAUAUUAGCUUUAUUAAUGCAUUCCAUUGUGUCUAUAUUAGAUCUAUGUAUUUAUAUUCGGUAUUGUUACAGUGGUUUAUUUUUGUGUUGCAUUAUGUAUUGAAAAUUGAUGUUUAAUAUAAAUUAUCGUUUUGCUAUCAGCUUAUUUUUUUGGUCAUCAACUAUCAGCUAUCAGCUAUCAGCUAUGCAAUAUAUUUUCAUUGAGUUUAUGAAAGAAUUAUCAAAUAAACAAGAACAAUUCUUUUUUUUUUGAUAAAAUAUACAAGAACAAUUCAUUUUAAGAAAAUAUAAAUUUGAUAUACAUAUCAAACUAUAUACAUAUAUUAAACUUUAAUCAAGAAUCCUCUCUCUUUCUCUAGAGAGAGAAAUCUUUCUCCCAUGUUCCCGAUCAAAAUCUUUCACAGGGGAGGAGAUUCUGUUUUGUUUUUGUUUUCGAUCUUUGGAUCGAUUGUAGUUUCGCUAUGGCGAUUAUCUCUUUCGCAUAGGCAAUUUUUUGUUUCGUUUUGACGAUUUUGUUGAAUCAAUCUUUGCUCUCUAUUGUUGGUGAAGUCUCCUGUAAGGUAAAGAAAGGAGAUGAUUGAUGAAGCAGUGAGGAGUUGGCGCGGAUUUAGAUUAGUCAGAGUCUUAUUGAAGGCGUUCCGGAAAGAUCUUGUUGCUGUCUAUUUUGAAGCUUUCAUGGGAUUCACAUCUGGCGAUAUGAAGAAGAGUUUCGUUGGAUUUGCGGCGAUUUAGAGAUGCUUGGAACAAGCAAGCGAAUCAAACUAAGCGGCGAAGAGGAACGGUGGUUCUCGGACCGACAUGUAGCCGACGGUGGCACCAGAUUACUCUUCUCGAAUCCAGAAAAUUCGAAGUGUAAUUAGCCAACACGUGUGCAACAUGCAUGAUACUUGAUCUGUCGGGUUGGGUUUGUAAAAAAGGGUUGGACUUUGUUUGGGCUUCACGAUUUUGUUGUGGAUUAAGUUUGAUUUGCUUGUAAAUCGGCCCAUGGCCUGUUAAGCUUUAUAAAAGCAAUCGUUGACAAAAAAAAAAAAAAC